UUCCCGGUGCCCUCCCCCGACCCCCCUCCUCCCCGGGCGUCGGAGGAGUAGGAGGCCGACGCGCAGGGUGGGAGGAGAAGGGCUUGGGUUACAGGGAAACCGGAGCUGGGGAAGGUUCACGUUUCACAACAAAGACAGAAGACGGACCACGCUGUUUGGGCCCUGAGGGGGGGCGGGAAGCGGGGAGGUGAGACCGAGCAACGGUCAGGGAGGGCCUGGCCGCGAAGGGGCCUGAACAAGCCCCUACGACCGGUGGGGAGGACAAAGGCCCCUCCUCCUUUCCCGCAGUCCCUCAUUUUCUCACUGCCGCCCCGAGUCUAGCCGCGGACACGGAUGGGAUCUGGGACGGAGCCUUGAAUGGAGCAGAGAGAGGCGGUCUCUCGGCCUCCGCGAGAGGAGCAUUGGUGUCCGGGUGUCUGGGAGAGGGCCGGGGCGCGUGCCCGUUCCAUGCACACGGAUUCCCCGCGCUCGGCUGGCGCCUGAGGGUGUGAGCGAGGGGUGUCCGAGGACAACGGGCAUUGGUGUGGGCGGGGGGGCUGGUGGAUGGCACGUCCCCGGGAAAGCGGGACUGGCGCCGCCCGGGUUCCCUCACCUCUUGCAGGGCGCGCCGCCGCCGCCCCCGGUCCGGUCGCGCUGUCGUCGGUUCUUGAACCAGUUGCUAACCUGCGUGAGCGAGAGGCCGGUGAGCGUGGCCAGGCGGCGCUUCUCGUCCGGCGUGGGGUAGCGGUUGCCGCGAUAGCAGGCCUUGAGCGCGGCGCGGGACCGCUCCUUGAAGCAGUAGACGGUCUCUUCGCCGUCCCAGAUGGUCUUGGGCAGCGGGAACUUCUUGCGCAGACGGUACUUGUCCACCGCGCCCAGCGCGCGGCCGCGGGCCCGUUCGGCCUCGUGGUAGCGCGCGCGCAGGUAGAGGUCCUGCAGAAACGCGUGGUGGGCGGCGGGGAAGGGGCGGCUCUCGAGCAGCCGGUAGAGCUCGGCGUACUCGCCCCGCUGGAAGGCCACCAGGGCCCGAGCGCGCAGCACCGGAUCGCUGCCACGUAGGCGCUCGGCCGGGGGCAGUGCGCCCAGGAAACGGCUCAAGCGGCCGGCGUGGCCCGCCUGUAGCAGCGCCUCGCACACGCACGCCACCUGCUCCGGCGAGAAGCGGAGGCCCGUGGGCGGCUCGGCAGCGGCCUCGGGGGGCGACCCGGGGACGCCCGGGGAUCCCGGGCCCUCCACUUUCACCGCCGCUUCGCCCGCCCCGGCCCCGGCCGCCGCCGCUGCCUCACCCUCGGCCGCCUGCAAAGUCUGCAGAAGCUGGCGCGCUUCCUCCUCCUCCUCUUCGGUCGCCGCCGCCGCCACCGCCUCCCCCCCAGCCGCCGGCCCCGCGCUCGGCUCCGCAGGCAAGGCCGCGCUUUUUGCCUCCCCCCCGCGUGUGCCUCUGGCUCAGGGCCUCAGUUUCCCCAUCGGGACAACGGAGAAGGCAACAGGCCGUCCGGGAGGGCUAAGGGCGCGAAGCCGCCUCCGCCCCGAGACUGAGCUUCUGCACGCCUCCGUCUCCAGGGUCCUCCGAAGGCCCCCCUCACUCCCCAUCUCGGCCCGCGCUCCGCCCCUCGGAAUUCCCGGCUCCGCAGGGGGGCGGGUCUGGCUGGGAGAAGGGGCGGGGGAAACGGGUUAGAAAGUUUGCAGCAACUUUUCUUGAACGUAAGUCAGUCCCUGGAACGGAUGCGCGUGGCCCGCGCAGGCGCAGUGGUAGGAGGAUGGCUGCGCUAGCUGCCAGCCCAGCAACCCCCUUCACCGCGGUCUGAUGGCACAGCUGGGCCACAGCUGGACAAGAGGCGGUGCCUCCUGGUGGCCCGCUCUUCUUCUCCUAUUGGCCAGAUGUCGAAGCCACGCCCCGCAGCCCACCCCCACCCCUGAUACGUCCGCUUCGCCUCCCGCUAGCUUGCUGCCAGGCCAUUGGCCACCUCCACUCGCCUUCCUAUUGGCCCACUGAAAAGCCUCCUGCCCUCAAAGCAAACAGCGGACACGAAGGAAUUUCAGAAUUUUGGGCAGACGAGAGGGCCUUUUAUUCGCGAGGAUCGGGGGUGGGGUCCUAGGUGGGGAAAGACAAUAAAUACCGAGGAAUGUCGGGGUCUCAGUGCAUCCAAAACGUGGAUUAGGGUGCUGGGGUCCUGGAGCCUGUCAGCGGGUCGGAGGAAAGGUCAAUAAAUACCCAAACUGCCGAGGCGGGCGGAGCCGGCUGUGGCUCCGAGAGCAGCGCACGUGAGGAGGGCGCGAGAGUCCCCGAAAAAAGCGGGGCUGUCAAAAGGCAAAGGCGGAGCUCGCGCUAGACGUUCACCGCGGAAAGAGAGUCUUCCCGGGAGGGCAGGGCCUCAUGCACAAGGAGGAUUUGUGGUUUGCAAGCCGAUGUGGGUGGGGGUGCCUGGAGGGUGAAAAACAGAUGCCGAGCCCUGGCCCUGCUGCCUUCUCUAGGUCGCAGCUUGCCCAUCCACGUCGGGAGCCUCAGCUAGGCCGGAGAAAGGAAGAGGUCCGCGAUCCCCCCAGCAGCAGCAGCAGCAGCAUUCCCGGCUACAAGCCUCCCUUGAGCCGCGGCCCCGGCUCCUCCCUCCCCAGCCGCCAGGGGGCGGGCCCGGAUCACAGGGCUGGAGCUGGGGCGGAAACCCACGCUCGGAGUGCUGUGAACUGGGGGACGGUGGGAGCGGCUUCUGGGCCGUGCCUGGGUCACCAAACCCUCCAGCGGAGCCCGAGUGUAGGACAGGCUCGGGUUCUAGGGUUCAGGCGGCGAAGGCGGCUCCUGGGCGGGAUCAGACUGCGGCAAGAUAGCCGGCGCAGGCCACCAACCCAAUGCAGCCCAGGGCGGCGGCACCAGCCAGAGCAGAGGCGAACAGGAGCAAGGAACGCGCCUCCGAUAGGCCAGGCCUAGGGACCUGCGGGGAGAGGGCGGGGGGGGGGGGUCAGCACUGGCGACGUGGGCCUCUGAUUGGCUCCUGGGACCAGCCCCGCCUACGCCCAUAAGAGGGUCCACACACUCCCUGCACCCGCCCCGCCCCCCUCACAGCGAGGGUAGCUGUGAUUGGUCGGCUCGGAAGCCUAAGUCUUGUCCCAACUCCUCAUUGGCUGCUUCCUAGGGGCCUGUGUUGAUUGGCUGCCCGAGCAUCCUCCCUCCCCGCCGCGGGCCCCACCCCGCAGAGGCGCAGCUAAGCAGAGGCGGCUUGGGGUGUAUACACACGCCGCGGGCCCACCUCCCCGCCCCCCCCCCCUGCCCGCCCCCAGGCCGGCGCCUCAGGAAAGGUGGUGGAUGAGGGACUCGCCUGCGGCUCCCCCGGCCUGAAGCAACUCCAUCCGUUCCUGCAGCUGCCGGACGUGCGCCUCCAGGUCUCGGUUACGGGCCUGGGCCUCGCGGAGUUGGCUGCAGGGGAGCGCCCAGAGGGCCUAGCACCCCAGGGCGCACACUACCCCCGAAGGCCUCCCUCUGCUCCCGGCCCGUCCCUCACGGACCCGCUCCUCUAAAGACUCCUAAAGACUCACCGUUUCCUCUGCUGGGGGCACCAUGGGUUCCAGGCUGGGCUCUUGCAGCGGCUCAGGCAACGCCUCGGCCUCCAGUUCCAUGGGCGUGGAGCCCGGGAUCUCAUCAUCCCUGGGAAGGGGAAGAGGAAGAGGGCGAGGGGAGGAAGAGCCGGCCUCACCCCAGAGGCUGCCGAUCCCCUGCGUUUACAGCCAGGACUCCCUAGCCUGUGCCCUGGGGCAGCCAGACCUGAAGGUUCCAGGCUUGAGGAGGGGGAGGGGCAGAGUGAAGGCAACAAAUUGCCAGGCUGGUGGGACAGGUCCUCCUCUCGUUAGGAAAAGGCCUGCCCCUGGCAUGGCCUCAGGCCCCUGGAAGCUGGCCUCUCUGCACCUUCCUCAGGAACCUGGGGUCAGGACACCCAUGUUCCAGGAUCUGCCCAUCUCCGUCUCCAUGUGCCCUUUACAGGCCCCUCUCCUAAGGGCCUCAGGAAGUGAGGGAGACACUCCCGGCUCUGGCCACCUCCGAAGAGGUGGUCUUCAGACUGGGUGUUGGACCCCAAGACUGACUCUAGACAGCAGCCACCCCCCCCACCCCCAGACCCAGGUGCUGGGAGGAAGACAGACCAUCCCAAGGAAUAUGAAAUUGCAAUAAAAGUGAUGUCCCCUCCAACCCAGCAGUCCCUCUUGUAGAAAUAUGUCUCAAGGACCCAAUGAUGCUCGACAAGCGCCAAGACCAACCUGCGGCUGUUCAUCCAGCCUCGGUCAUGACAGAGAGGCGGGUUAGCUGAGUCCUGACCCGCCCAGUAAGGAGAACACUCCCCAGCGGGUCAGGAUUGUGUUAUAGUUUGUUCAAGAAAUGGCACUUGUGGUACAUUGUCCACUAACAAAACAGAUUAGAAUACAGCAUGUUCUCACAGCUGUUAGGUAUGUGUGCUGUGAGCCAGGGACCGUUGCUGCUGGCGGCCUUCCUUUUUCUCAUCCCUAUUUUCUAAUAUACUUGUGAUAAGCAAUGUAUUAUUUUCAGAAUCAAUGUUUUAAGAAGG